rnacentral:rRNA from 1 species
GAUGAACGCUGGCGGCGUGCCUAAUACAUGCAAGUCGAGCGAACAGAUGAGGAGCUUGCUCCUCUGACGUUAGCGGCGGACGGGUGAGUAACACGUGGAUAACCUACCUAUAAGACUGGGAUAACUUCGGGAAACCGGAGCUAAUACCGGAUAAUAUAUUGAACCGCAUGGUUCAAUAGUGAAAGACGGUUUUGCUGUCACUUAUAGAUGGAUCCGCGCCGCAUUAGCUAGUUGGUAAGGUAACGGCUUACCAAGGCAACGAUGCGUAGCCGACCUGAGAGGGUGAUCGGCCACACUGGAACUGAGACACGGUCCAGACUCCUACGGGAGGCAGCAGUAGGGAAUCUUCCGCAAUGGGCGAAAGCCUGACGGAGCAACGCCGCGUGAGUGAUGAAGGUCUUCGGAUCGUAAAACUCUGUUAUUAGGGAAGAACAAAUGUGUAAGUAACUAUGCACGUCUGGACGGUACCGAAUAGAAAGCCACGGCUAACUACGUG